UGGUGACCAAACCUGUCAGAUUGUUUUUUAAAGAUGCUGAGGAGCAGAUUUCUCAUGGGGAGCACCUUCUGAUACAUUUUAAUACGUUUCUUACAGGCUAGUCAAAUAAAGCAGUGGGAGUGGAAAAGGAUCAAAGAAAUCUGUAACCGGUUAUGAUCAAUUAGUUGUAAACACCACUGCACGAGGACCAGCCCAAAGCUGCUACUUAACCAAGUGACUUUCUGAUUGCUCAACUGUGUUUCCACUGAGAAAAAUGCAUUGAAAUGAAACAUCUCAUUUCCAGUACUGUCCUGAGGCAAAAAGAGACAAUGAUACGUAUCUCCAAUUUAGACUGGAUGAAACUAGCCACAUUUCAAAUAAAGAAGUCACAUUGUAAGUGUAAAACGACGUUAACCUUAAAGGAGACAUUUCCGCCCUGUAUAACUAUGCACAGCUUCAACUAAUGGUAUAUGAACUGUGUCUACAAACCAAAGGACAUUUUUCUAAAGAAACUUUAAAUAUAGAAAAUUAACUCAAACCUUACCUUAGAGCUUCCUCCUCUAUUGUCUUUUCCUGUAGUGGUAGUCUCUGUGGCACUUACAGGUGGUAAACAAAUAAAAAAGUGUCUUAUUGAAUUAACUUGAUUGCCAUAUUGAUCAGUUUUAUGUGUUUUUAU
rnacentral:lncRNA from 1 species